UGAGCAAUCUGCCCUUCUCAUCGGAAUAAGCGUUGGAAACGACGUCUAAUGCCGAAUACGACCUCCUUUCGCAUGAUCGGAGGUGGAAAGCUCCGGCGGAGAAGGAUGAGCUCGCGGCCUAUCAGCUAGUUGGUGUGGGUAAUGGCCCACCAAGGCGACGACGGGUAGCCGGCCUGAGAGGGCGACCGGCCACACUGGGACUGAGAUACGGCCCAGACCUCCGUACGGAGCAG
rnacentral:rRNA from 1 species